rnacentral:lncRNA from 1 species
GGAAAUUGCCACAAAUACCACAUUCAUAGUACCACUUUUCAUGUUUACACUAACUACUUUUACUCUCAUUUUUAAUGAUGGUUAAAAUACAAUUAUACCCUUAGAGUUAAUUAAUCUAGACUUAGGGUUUAGAGUUGAGGGGUGGGGUAGAGUUUUUGGAAUGUGAAAUUUAUGAUUCUAAUAAAUAUAUAAAUACUUAAAAAUAUAUAAAAAAAAUUUUAAAAAAUAGUUUCAAACAUAAUUUUCGUGUUUCAAAAAGAAAUUUGAAAAAAAAUAAAAAAAAAUUCGAAAAAAAAAGUUCAAAAAAAAAAUUUAUAAAAAAAAAUCGAAUUUGAAAAAAGUAUAAUUCGAAAACAUAAAAAAAAUUACAUUUUUUUAUUUUUUUAUUUUUUUUAAUUUUUCUUAUUUCUUUAUUUAAAUAAUGAUUUAUUAUAUAUAUAAAUAACAAGGACAUAAGAGUCUUUUGUCACUUAAUGAAAAAUGUAUUUUUGAAAAUAUCUCAUAAAUGAUGGUAAAAAUGAAAAGUGGUAACAUGAAAGUGGUAAACAUAUAAUUUUUCCAUCAGUUUUCGUGUCUUGAAGAUUUUUUGUCUCAUUUGGUAAGGCUCGCUGCUUCGGACUAAAGGUACAUAACUAAGUACUGUUGGUUUGAUUCUUAAAUAAUUUUGUGAUGAUGAAUGUGUUUAUAGAUGAUCAAAUGAUAUAAAGUGUUGUUACAAAUCUCAAAUCAAAUACACUAAAAGAGAACUUUAUGAGUGUACUUCAAUAAAAAAAUAUGUCAUUGUUUACUUGACUUUUUAAAGACAAAAUUUGAAUUUACAUUUCUUCUAUCAUGAAUAUAUUUUUUUUUUAAAUUAUUGUUUGCUAUACUUUUGAAAUUCAUUAUCACUCCUACGAUCAAUUUUCCGUUUAGGAUAAGCCAAUAAACUUUUUUAAAAAAACACAUCCCCUAUAAGAAAACAAUCCUAAACCAAUAAGAUGCAUCACCCACAUUACUAAAAACUUUUAACAUUUUCAUUUAGUAGGAGUCAAAACUGCCUUGACAUGACUUCGAAAGCUAAGGACUGAAGGCCUGAAAUCUUCUAA